rnacentral:rRNA from 1 species
GAUGAACGCUGGCGGCGUGCCUAAUACAUGCAAGUCGAGCGAACGGACGAGAAGCUUGCUUCUCUGAUGUUAGCGGCGGACGGGUGAGUAACACGUGGAUAACCUACCUAUAAGACUGGGAUAACUUCGGGAAACCGGAGCUAAUACCGGAUAAUAUUUUGAACCGCAUGGUUCAAAAGUGAAAGACGGUCUUGCUGUCACUUAUAGAUGGAUCCGCGCUGCAUUAGCUAGUUGGUAAGGUAACGGCUUACCAAGGCAACGAUGCAUAGCCGACCUGAGAGGGGGAUCGGCCACACUGGAACGGGGACACGGACCAGACUCCUACGGGAGGCAGCAGUAGGGAAUCUUCCGCAAUGGGCGAAAGCCUGACGGAGCAACGCCGCGUGAGUGAUGAAGGUCUUCGGAUCGUAAAACUCUGUUAUUAGGGAAGAACAUAUGUGUAAGUAACUGUGCACAUCUUGACGGUACCUAAUCAGAAAGCCACGGCUAACUACGUG